GGAUUCCCUUAGUAGCUGCGAGCGAACAGGGAAGAGCCCAGCACCGAAUCCUGUCCGUCUCGCGCGGAUCUGGAAAUGUGGUGUUUGGGAGGGCCCGUUUCGAUCUCGCCCCGAGGCGUCCGUCCAAGUCCAUCUUGAAAGUGGCCACAGCCCGUAGAGGGUGCCAGGCCCGUAGGACGACGCAACACGUCGGGGCGAAAGGGUCUCUCCUCAGAGUCGGGUUGCUUGAGAGUGCAGCUCUAAGUGGGUGGUAAACUCCAUCUAAGGCUAAAUAUGACCACAAGACCGAUAGCGAACAAGUACCGUGAGGGAAAGUUGAAAAGAACUUUGAAGAGAGAGUUCAAGAGUACGUGAAACCGUUCGGGGGUAAACGGACGAAAUCUGGAAAAUCGAAGGGAGUGAUUCACGCCCGUCCGCCGUCACGCGUGUCGCUGCGGCCGCCGAUGGCGCGCACCCGGUCCCGUCCCGCCCGCAAGGGUGGGCGCGGAUCGCCGGGUCCGUCACGCGCGCGUCGUACGUCGACCACGGGCGCGGGCUGCACUUCACUCCUUGUAGUACGUCGCGACCCGUUGGGUGUGCGUCCAGGGCCCGUGCGUGGAGCCGACGGACGUGUCCGGCGUCGCGUGCCUCGGCACGCGUGCGUCCGGCCGUCCGACGACCGCUGCGGUGACCCGACGCACCCGCCCGACGGUAUCCACGAAGACGAACGCGGCGAAAAGAACGUGGCGGUAAUGCGCCCGCGAUCCCCCCCCGGGGGGGUACGCCUCGCGUCAGCGACGCUCCAUUCAGAGCAUCAUCCGACCCGUCUUGAAACACGGACCAAGGAGUCUAACAUGUGCGCGAGUCAUUGGGACCGCAACGAAACCUAAAGGCGAAAUGAAAGUGAAGGCCGCGGCCGCAAGCCCGUGCCCUAUAUAAUGAGGGGAGAUGCCCGUCGUCCGUGUAGCGACACGGGCCGCAUCCCCGGGACGUCUCGUUGUCAUCGCGACACAGUAGGCGUACCCAGAGCGUACACGUUGGGACCCGAAAGAUGGUGAACUAUGCCUGGUCAGGUCGAAGUCAGGGGAAACCCUGAUGGAGGACCGUAGCGAUUCUGACGUGCAAAUCGAUCGUCAGAGCUGGGUAUAGGGGCGAAAGACUAAUCGAACCAUCUAGUAGCUGGUUCCCUCCGAAGUUUCCCUCAGGAUAGCUGGCGUUCGAGUCUGUGUGUGGCACGCGUCGCGACCCUCGGGUCCGGCGCGUGCUUCGACCAGUCUCAUCUGGUAAAGCGAAUGAUUAGAGGCCUUGGGGCCGAAACGACCUCAACCUAUUCUCAAACUUUAAAUGGGUGAGAUACUCGACUUGCUCGAACGAUGAAGUCGAGGCGCGCAAGCGCAAGUGGCGGAUGAACGGGUGCCAAGUGGGCCAAUUUUGGUAAGCAGAACUGGUGCUGUGGGAUGAACCAAACGUCGAGUUAAGGCGCCUAAAUCGAUGCUCAUGGGAUACCAUGAAAGGCGUUGGUUGCUUAAGACAGCAGGACGGUGGCCAUGGAAGUCGGAAUCCGCUAAGGAGUGUGUAACAACUCACCUGCCGAAGCAACUAGCCCUGAAAAUGGAUGGCGCUGAAGCGUCGUGCCUAUACUCGGCCGUCAGAGGCAUUGGGAGACAGCCUGGACUUCGGUCUUCGGCGCUCGAAGAAGCCCUGACGAGUAGGAGGGCGCGGUGGUGAGCGCAGAAGGGUAGUGGCGUGAGCCUGCCUGGAGCCGCCAUUGGUGCAGAUCUUGGUGGUAGUAGCAAAUACUCCAGAGGGGUCCUGGAGGACUGAGGCGGAGAAGGGCUUCGUGUGAACAGCCUUUGAACACGAAUAAGUCGAUCCUAAGCCCUAUGUGAAAGUUGAUGCCGAUGGGCGGUCCCGACCAUGCGGGCCACUGUCGGACGCCCGCCAAGGCGGCGUCGUGUCGGCGUGUAAUAGCGUCGCGCGCGGCGUCGUCGACCGCGCGGUGUCGUCCGGCAACUCGUCGGGGUAACCCAAAAGGACCCGGAGACGCCGUCGGAUGAUCGAGGCAGAGUUUUCUGUUCUGUAUGAGCGUUCGAGUUCCCUGGAAUCGCCUAGCGCGGAGAUAGGGUUUGGAACGCGAAGAGCACCGCACUUGCGGCGGUGUCUCGAUCUAUCCCUCGGACCUUGAAAAUCCGGGAGAGGGCCACGUGGAGGUGUCGCGCCGGUUCGUACCCAUAUCCGCAGCAGGUCUCCAAGGUGA
rnacentral:rRNA from 1 species